UUAGCCAAGUAUUGGAGGUGCAGAAAGGUGCUACAAGAAGGUGCCUAAGAAGUCCAGCAAGCUGUCCAUGUCUGGGCCUUGCGUAACCAUGGUAACUUCUGACCCCACUUCCGCCAGUCCCUUUAUUGUGGCGGGAAUGAACCCUGUAUAAGUUCCGGGUCAAUCAGCUGCAUGUUCCCUGCUCCUCUGGCUGCUGUUGUUCCUGUGGUUGGCGUACUUGUCAGAUAUUGACAAAUUUUACACUACAUACUAGUUGACAGCGUGCAAUGACCCGGCCGAUUCAUUCAUCUUUACACCACCUCACAAUCGACUCAACGGUCAGGUUUUUUUUUCCCCCCGCGAUCAGCCCUGAUCAGCGCGGGAUGGCGAGCCACCCGACCACCGCUGCAUUGCGGUAGGACUUGCGAACCUUUGGACUAAACUGAACUGUUUCCACAUGACCUAUCACAGGUCAAUGAAACUAAACUGAUCUUAUACUGGACUAAACCUCAUCCCACCUCCUUUUGGAACCUAAUAAGCUGUUUUGUAUUGUCAACAUUAUUCUUGUUUGUGAUAUAUAUGCAUAUAUUUUUUUUAUUUUUUUGUACAUCUGUCUAUAGAUUUCUCAUAACAUACAUAAUAUAUAUAUUUCUUGACCUCUAUUUUGGUUUCCUGUGUUUUAUUCACACACUCAGGCUCCAUAGUCGAAACUACUUCUGAUUGCUCAUUUUCCAUGAAGCUGCUGUCACACGCCCUGGUCCUUUACCGCGUUACAAGUGGCGAGCCAGCCAGGAGCCUUUGUGUGUGAAUAUUUUGGGGUCAUACAUACAGUUUUUCUUUUCUUAAUUACUUUGUUUUUGCUGAAAAUCAAAAAUGGAUUCAGUUGCACUUUCCGGCAUCAAUAUAUCACAGUCUGUGAUGAUCUCUGGUGUGUCUAACACAAAAGCUGGUGACGAAAUUCUUGACUACUUGCGUACUUAUGGUAAUCUUAACCGUCAUUUUUACGUAAUUGAUCCUGCGAGUACUUUCUUUAAAAACCUGAUCGCUGAGUUUGUAGAUACCACUGCUUUUACAACUCUAGAGCCGUUUCUGCCAUACACUUACUGUUCUAAAACUGUUGCCGACCUUGUGUUCCGCGUCACAGCUUUGGCCUGUGAGUACGCCGCCACAGAGGACAGCAGCAGUCCUCCUCCCAACUACCUCAAGGAGCUCAAACAAAUUGCUGAUCGCAGCGGGCACCGGUUUGAGGAUGUCAUGAAGCAGCCAAAUACUCACAGACUUGGCCAACUGACAAAAAAUGUAGUCAGGUGAUAACAAGUACAGGGAAGGUAGUCAGAACUGAGGGGAUUGAACUACCAGAGGGCAACAUUGCAGACAUAGAGAGUAGGUACAAGUAGUUGGGGAUCCCACAGGCGAAUGGGAACCAUGAAGAGGCCGCUAGGAAAGCUGCAACCACCAAGUACCUGCAGGGGGUCAGGCAGGUCCUGAGAAGUUAGCUGAAUGGUAAGGACAAGAUCAUCUAUCAACACCUACACCCUGCCCGUGAUCAGGUACCAUGCUGGGAUAAUAAGCUGGUCAAAGGAGGAGAUGGAAGCCACUGACAUCAAGACCAAGAAGCUCCUGACCAUGCACGGAGGGUUUCACCCCAAGUCCAGCAUCUUGAGGCUGUACGCCAAGUGGAAGGAAGGAGGCAGAGGACUGGUAAGUGUCAGCACCAUGGUCCAGAAUGAGACAACGAACAUCCAAGAACACAUCAUGAAGAUGGCCCCAACUGACGGCGUGCUCAGUGAAUACCUCAGGCAGCAGAAACCCAAGAAAGAGGAGGAAGGCGAGAAACCAUCAUGGAAGGACGAUCGAAAUCAAUCAGCAUGAAGCUGAAGGAGAAACUGUCAGAGCACAAUCUUAAAGUGAACUCUGAAGCUGAUCUGCAGACAUCCCAGGGAGGUUGUACAACAAUCUAGACAAGGACGCACAACACAAAGAAACUCUACUUGGAAAUCUUUCUUAAGUGGAAAAAAGCAAAAGCGAACCAGAUUUACCCAAACUAAAAGCAUCAAAAGUCAACAAAAUGUUUCUGAUUGGAAAAAUUAGGAAAUGUGGAAAAGGGACUUACAAUAUCAUUUCCAUUACUCUGUUUAUGCUUUCUCUUUAUUAAAUUGGAGAAGAUUCUCAGCAAUCCUGCUUUUAAUGGUCUAAGCAUCAAUUCCACAUCUUUAACUUGGAAACAUCUUGGGGCUUCAAAAAAAGAGAUAUACAACUGAUUGCCAUCUGCAUUGUGUAACAAGUAAUGUCAAAGUGUAUGAAAUCUGGUGAAGAGGAAACAAAUAUAACAGAAAUAGUAAGGGUCUCCAAAACUGAACCUUGUGACACACCAUAGGCAUGAUAAGCAGAAGAGCACCUGUGCAUCCACGUAAUUGUCAGCUGUGAACAACAGAACAAAACACUGAGACAUGGACAGGCAGUAAAGUCCAAGCUUUAUUAAUCUCAUAUUAGAGGGAAGAAAAACAGUGUCAACUCCAAGAGAAAUUUUCCCUCACAGCUCAUGCUGUGUUUGUCCUCUCAGUCUGUGAGGUGCAGGUGGAGGAGGGGGCGGAGUCUGUCCCGCUGCCCUUUCAAACCACGAAAGACCUGCCUGCAGAUGCUAAAGUGGUGUGGUGGGACAUUCAUGACAGGAAGGUCCACGUGUUUUCAGACCAGGCUGGAGAACAGGACGAGGUUUACAGGGACCGAACAGAGAUGAAUAACAACCCGCUGACAACUGGAGACCUCAGUCUGACCCUGAAACGUCCCACAGAGAGAGACAGUGGGACAUACAGAUGUGAUGUCAUCAGAUACAAAACAGUGCAGCUUAGGGUCAAAGGGAGAGUUGAGGUCCAGGAUCAAACAGGGGACAUCAGGAACAGAAGCAGC